rnacentral:rRNA from 1 species
UCCCGCGUAAUUUAAGCAUAUUAAUAAGCGGAGGAAAAGAAACUAACCAGGAUUCCCUCAGUAGCUGCGAGCGAACAGGGAAGAGCCCAGCACCGAAUCCUGUCCGUCUCGCGCGGAUCUGGAAAUGUGGUGUUUGGGAGGGCCCGUUUCGAUCUCGCCCCGAGGCGUCCGUCCAAGUCCAUCUUGAAAGUGGCCACAGCCCGUAGAGGGUGCCAGGCCCGUAGGACGACGCAACACGUCGGGGCGAAAGGGUCUAGAGUUCAAGAGUACGUGAAACCGUUCGGGGGUAAACGGACGAAAUCUGGAAAAUCGAAGGGAGUGAUUCAAGCCCGUCCGCCGUCACGCGUGUCGCUGCGGCCGCCGAUGGCGCGCACCCGGUCCCGUCCCGCCCGCAAGGGUGGGCGCGGAUCGCCGGGUCCGUCACGUGCGCGUCGUACGUCGACCACGGGCGCGGGCUGCACUUCACUCCUUGUAGUACGUCGCGACCCGUUGGGUGUGCGUCCAGGGCCCGUGCGUGGAGCCGACGGACGUGUCCGGCGUCGCGUGCCUCGGCACGCGUGCGUCCGGCCGUCCGACGACCGCUGCGGUGACCCGACGCACCCGCCCGACGGUAUCCACGAAGACGAACGUGGCGAAAAGAACGUGGCGGUAAUGCGCCCGCGAUCCCCCCCCGGGGGGGUACGCCUCGCGUCAGCGACGCUCCAUUCAGAGCAUCAUCCGACCCGUCUUGAAACACGGACCAAGGAGUCUAACAUGUGCGCGAGUCAUUGGGACCGCAACGAAACCUAAAGGCGAAAUGAAAGUGAAGGCCGCGGCGCAAGCCCGUGCCCAAAUAUAAUGAGGGGAGAUGCCCGUCGUCCGUGUAGCGACACGGGCCGCAUCCCCGGGACGUCUCGUUGUCAUCGCGACACAGUAGGCGUACCCAGAGCGUACACGUUGGGACCCGAAAGAUGGUGAACUAUGCCUGGUCAGGUCGAAGUCUGGCGUUCGAGUCUGCGUGUGGCACGCGUCGCGGCCCUCGGGUCCGGCGCGUGCUUCGACCAGUCUCAUCUGGUAAAGCGAAUGAUUAGAGGCCUUGGGGCCGAAACGACCUCAACCUAUUCUCAAACUUUAAAUGGGUGAGAUACUCGACUUGCUCGAACGAUGAAGUCGAGGCGCGCAAGCGCAAGUGGCGGAUGAACGGGGUGCCAAGUGGGCCAAUUUUGGUAAGCAGAACUGGCGCUGUGGGAUGAACCAAACGUCGAGUUAAGGCGCCUAAAUCGAUGCUCAUGGGAUACCAUGAAAGGCGUUGGUUGCUUAAGACAGCAGNNNNNNNNNNNNNNNNNNNNNNNNNNNNNNNNNNNNNNNNNNNNNNNNNNGGAAUCCGUUUCCUAUUACGGAACCCGGCAGCGGAACCGACCAUGCGGGCCACUGUCGGACGCCCGCCGAGGCGGCGUCGUGUCGGCGUGUAAUAGCGUCGCGCCCGGCGUCGUCGACCGCGCGGUGUCGUCCGGCAACUCGUCGGGGUAACCCAAAAGGACCCGGAGACGCCGUCGGAUGAUCGAGGCAGAGUUUUCUGUUCUGUAUGAGCGUUCGAGUUCCCUGGAAUCGCCUAGCGCGGAGAUAGGGUUUGGAACGCGAAGAGCACCGCACUUGCGGCGGUGUCUCGAUCUAUCCCUCGGACC